UCCGUAGGUGGAUCAAUCAGUCAGAGGUGAAAUCCUGCAGCUUAACUGUAGAACUGCCUUUGAUACUGUUGAUCUUGAGUCAUUAUGAAGUGGUUAGAAUGUGUAGUGUAGCGGUGAAAUGCAUAGAUAUUACACAGAAUACCGAUCGCGAAGGCAGAUCACUAAUAAUGUACUGACACUGAGGGACGAAAGCGUGGGGAGCGAACAGGAUUAGAUACCCUGGUAGUCC
rnacentral:rRNA from 1 species